GUCACGCGCAAUGGAUAGCGCGUUGGACUUCUAAUCCAAAGGUAGUGGGGUCAAAUUCCACAUGGGAUA